CGGACGGGUGAGUAAUGCCUAGGAAUCUGCCUGGUAGUGGGGGACAACGUUUCGAAAGGAACGCUAAUACCGCAUACGUCCUACGGGAGAAAGCAGGGGACCUUCGGGCCUUGCGCUAUCAGAUGAGCCUAGGUCGGAUUAGCUAGUUGGUGAGGUAAUGGCUCACCAAGGCGACGAUCCGUAACUGGUCUGAGAGGAUGAUCAGUCACGCUGGAACUGAGACACGGUCCAG
rnacentral:rRNA from 1 species